CGAAGUAGAAAGUGAUACAAUCAAAGGAACAGAUUUAAGAUGAAGAUCACCGGCAUGACGAUCCUGACUAAACUGUAAAACCCUAAUUUCAGCUUUACAUUACAAACCUCACUCACUUGCAAUGCAUGCGUAUAUCUCUCUCUGUGAAGGCAAAUGCAGAUUCUGUUGCUGCUUCAGAAACAGCAACCGCCAUGUGAGAUGGAAGGGAGGGAUAUGAGGAAUUCUGAGGAGCUGAGUGCCCUUGGUGUCAAAGAUGAAGAUUUGAUACUGAUAGUAUGCAAUGCUGCUUAAGCUUGAGUUGAUUCCAACAUUAACAUGUGGGAAGAUCAGCCGGUGGAGGAAGCAACUUCUGGUUGGGAAGCUUUCCAUCUAAGACUACCCAAGCCAUCUUCAAGCCCCAACUAGUAUGGAUCUCCAAGUGGCAAUGCAUAAACCAUACACCUGUAAAUAUUUUUUUAAGUAAAUAGUUAAUUAGGCUAAGGUCUUUGAUUAAAAUUUAAUGUUAAGUGUCAUUCUUAAUUCUCUUUCUUCUUUUAUCUAAAUCUUCAGGUUACUAAUUCCAGUCACUUUACUACAUAAAUAUUAACUUCAUUGAUGACUGCA